UAUGUCUGUGUGUGUGUGUGUGUGUGUAUAUAUAUAUAUAUAUAUAUAUACACACACAUACACACACAUAUAUG